rnacentral:rRNA from 2 species
CACUGAGGACACGCCGCGUGAGUGAAGAAGGUCUUCGGAUCGUAAAACUCUGUUGUUAGAGAAGANCACGAGUGAGAGUAACUGUUCAUUCGAUGACGGUAUCUAACCAGCAAGUCACGGCUAACUACGUGCCAGCAGCCGCGGUAAUACGUAGGUGGCAAGCGUUGUCCGGAUUUAUUGGGCGUAAAGGGAACGCAGGCGGUCUUUUAAGUCUGAUGUGAAAGCCUUCGGCUUAACCGGAGUAGUGCAUUGGAAACUGGAAGACUUGAGUGCAGAAGAGGAGAGUGGAACUCCAUGUGUACNGGGUGAAAU